AGGAAGGGCGGCUACUGACCUAGGGCUAUGGGUUAUGCUGGUUCUUCGUUGCCCCUCCCUCACAGGAGGCCUGGGAAGGAAAGGUUUCACUUUCGAAGGAUGAGAUGGCUAAACAGAAAGGCCCUGUCCAGUCAUUUGCAAUCAGACUUCCCCUGGUGGUUGCUGCACUGACUGACUUGAGGGGGUGUCAGGGGUGUGGGGACCUCUGGGAAGAAGACUGAGAUCCUGGAGACCCAAAAGUAGUUGGUGAGGAACCACCAUGACUUGGUUUCAGAGUCCGCUGGUUUGGAGCAGAAAGGUAGGAACUGUAUCCUGCCCAUUCUCUCGUCCUGCUUCCCCAGACCUCUGACUCUGUCUUCUCUUUCCUCAGGAAAAUUAUGGCACCAGCUGGGAGCUGCAAAUGCCUGUGGGGGUCCCAGUUGCUGCUGGUGUCCUGGCCCUCCUGGCCCUCCUGGCGUUGGCUUACCAUUGUCUCAAAGAGGCCUGGAAGUCCAGAUGCCAGCGGCCCUUGCCAUGAGGGCUGGAGGUGUCCUCAAACUGGAGAGAGCCUACAGCUUGUCUUCAUCCACAGCCUGGGUCAGGGCCAGCUGGUGACCCUCUCUUCAGAGCCUCAUGGCCCUCUACUGCCUUCCCUACUGUCCCUCUGAAGACCCUACUGGUACCAGGACAGCCCCUCGACUUUGGGUCUGAAGAGACCUCCAUGUUUCAGAGGAGGUUGUGGUAUUGGCCAAGCACCCUGCACCUGUUAAUGUGGAUGAAGGAUUGAAUCCAUGGGAGGAGGUCCUGCAGAAUAAGAACAAGAUUGGUCUCCCUGGAGUACUGGAUAUCUUCCCGAGCAAGAGGCUGUAGGCUGAGGCAAGUGGAGGAAGGCCUAAAGACCAAGUGGGCCCUGGAGACAUCCUUAAGUACAUCUCUGGUGUCUGGUCCUUAAAUGAGGUAAUCACACCUGACACACACAGCCAGGGAGAGGACCCCAUGGCAGGAACUGUGGAGUCUGCACUGGCGGGCUGAGGAGGGGCCUGAGGAGAAGUGGGUGUGGAAGCCUCCUGUCGCAGGGUGAGUAGUUGGUCUCCAGGUGAGAUGGAAGUAGAGGGAUGGAAAUGUAUAUUAAAUCCCAGUUGCUGGGCAGUGGUGGCACAUCCUUAACGCCAGCUCUCAGGAGGCAGAGGCAGGUGGAUCUCAGUUUUAAGCCAGGCUGGUCUACAGCGUAAGUUUCAGGACAGCUACCUAGAGGGAGGACUACACAGAGAAACCAUGUCUCAUAAACCCAAAUCAAACCCCACCAUCGAGUUUUUACUUGAAAUCCUUUCUCUCUACCUAACUGGUGCUGAGAUUACAGACAUGUGCCCCAGAGGUGCUGGGAAUCUGACUCAGGUCCUUAUAGCUAUAUAGUAAGCACUUUACUAAGUGAGCCAUUUCCCCAGCCUUUAGACUGUCUUUUUUGACUAGAGACAAAUCUCAGGUGGAGGCCCAGGAUGGCUGGUAAUCAGAGCCAGUUAAUGACGAAGAUGAAAAGUGGGGAGUUGCCUGCCCAGGAGGUGCCCAGCGUCUCAAGAGGCAAACCUGGCCUUUGCUUGGGGUAUCACUUCCAUCUGUGGCUCUCACUUGGGGUACUGCUUCCAUUUGUGGCUCACUUGGGGCACCACUUCCAUUCGUGGCUCACUUGGGGCACUGCUUCCAUUUGUGGCCCACUAUAACUCAUUCUCAUGAGCUCAGAAGAACUCAAGCUGAGAGGUAGUACAUGGCCCAAUCUUCAAGCCUUCCCCAGGGCUGGGGAUAGCUCCUCAGCAGGUCCCCUCCAAGUCUUGAUCUAGACCAAGCAAACACCAUUGCCCAUGAGUUACCAACCAAAUCCACAAUGUCCCCAGCACUUGGCAGGCGGUAUGUGGUUUGUGGCAGCGCAGACUAUUACUGACACACAGCAGCUCUGUACCAUGAGACUACACAGGGUUUAUUGAGGGAAUCAGAUGAGCAGAAGACAGCGGCAGGCACCAGGCCAUUACUAUCCCACAGGGGUGGCUGCUCCACGGCUUGUUUGCUAAGGGAGAGGAGCAUGCAGCUCUAUGACAUGAUGAGGACAGCUCUGGCCAGGGUGCAGCACGCAGGAAAUUCUGCCGUUCCUGGGGACAUUAGAGUGCCACUGCUGGCAUGGCUCCUGAGUCCUGCUAAACUCUUCUACAGGAGGUGGCUUUGAUGCCAUCUAACUGACCUGGUGCAUCAUGCGACACCAGGUGAGCAACCCUCAGUGGUGCCGCUGCCACUAGAGCAUGCCUACAUGGUGUCACCUCCUCCUGACAUCUGGGCUGGCUCCCAAGAACUGUGGACACAGGUUUAAGUUGGGAAAGAACGCAAGGUGCAAAGUCUGCCAGGGAGGUAGAGCGAAGCCUUUAGCCUGUCCCGCUCCGCCACAGUCAGAGCUGGAUGGGCCUUAGCAAGCAGCAAGAGACUAAAGAUCAGGCAGGCCUCACACCUGCCCCUAAAAGAUGCCACAAAGCAAAACAAAACCCUGCUGUGACUUGCACUGUCUUCAGAGGGUGGCAAGAAGUUCCUGCACAUAUCCUGGCUUGGGGUGACUGCAUUUUGCUGAACUUCAUGGAGCGCACAUGGGAUCACGCCCACUGGAAAGCUCUCAGCAAGGCAGCGUGCUCUGAAAGCAGAUGGUGCUGAGGCCUGGACAGCAGAGCAGGGCAGAGGUAUAUCAUCCAGACACAGUUCUCCACAGCUGUCUAAGGUCAGGAUGGUAAGAGCAGCAUGGGACAGGCCUGCAGGCCACCCAUCCAGCUUGGUUACCACCCAAAGUCCAAGCACUCCUCCUGGGAGACCUCUGAGGAAAUGUGACAGUCCUGGGUGCUUUGGAAGAGUUGUCAUCAAGUGCAUCUGAAGGAUGGGAAACGCCUGCAAGGAUGGGAAGCAUUUGGGGUGCCAGCUGCUCCUCUGUUGCUCCAGAGAAGACUCACUUCAGCAGGACUGGCUGCUCAGUUUUUGCUCUUUGAUUUUCCUGAUGACAGAGAAAUGUGCAUCAUUACAAAGGUUUAUUUAAGCCAGGCAUGGUGGUGCACACCUUUAAUCCCAGCACUUGGGAGGCAGAGGCAGGUGGAUCUUUGUUUAUGGUUAGCCUGGUCUACAGAGUGAGUUCUAGGACAGCCAGGGCUAUACAGAGAAACCCUGUCUCAAAAAAUAAACAAACAAAACACUAAAGG
rnacentral:lncRNA from 1 species